rnacentral:rRNA from 1 species
UACGUAGGGGGCGAGCGUUGUCCGGAUUUAUUGGGCGUAAAGAGCGUGUAGGCGGCCAGGUAGGUCCGUUGUGAAAACUCGAGGCUCAACCUCGAGACGUCGGCGGAAACCCUCUGGCUAGAGUCCGGAAGAGGCGAGUGGAAUUCCUGGUGUAGCGGUGAAAUGCGCAGAUAUCAGGAGGAACACCAAUUGCGAAGGCAGCUCGCUGGGACGUAACUGACGCUGAGACGCGAAAGCGUGGGGAGCAAACAGG